UGCACGGUGGCGCAGUUGGUAGCACUGUUGCAGCAAGAAGGUCCUGGGUUCGAUUCCCGGCCGGGGUCUUUCUGCAU